ensembl:lncRNA
AAAAAAUACAACUAUACCUUAUUUUGUAAUGGCAAAAUAAUAAUAUUGACAUCAUAUUGACUAGUGCAUUAGAUCACAAAGCAUCAAUGUCAAUCUACAUGUCAGGGACACGUGUCAUCCAUAUAAGUGCUUAUUUCAAGACAUGAAAUAUUUGUCUCUGACAUUCUCACUUUUAAAAUGUCUAAAUACCUAUUAGAUAGAAAAGGUACAGUACACACUGGGAAUAGCACACCACAGCCAAAACAGAUACAAGUAAAUUUACAGUUUUUCUCGAUUGCUUUCUCGAUGCUGAGUAACCUGUACAUUUGCUACAUUUGGAAAUGAAGCUUUUGGAAAAUGGGUAUUUUAUUGUGCAUGGACUCUUCCUUACAUGUUUUGUCAGUGUGACAUUUCAAAGGUCAGGUUUUUGACCAAAACAGCAUAUACAUUAGUAUUCCCUUAUCCACUAAUGUACGAGGUAUUUAUUACAGUAGUAUUCCCUUAUCCACUAAUGUACGAGCUAUUUAUUACAGUAGUAUUCCCUUAUCCACUAAUGUACGAGCUAUUUAUUACAGUAGUAUUCCCUUAUCCACUAAUGUACGAGCUAUUUAUUACAGUAGUAUUCCCUUAUCCACUAAUGUAUGAGCUAUUUAUUACAGUAGUAUUCCCUUAUCCACUAAUGUACGAGGUAUUUAUUAGUAGUAUUCCCUUAUCCACUAAUGUACGAGGUAUUUAUUAGUAGUAUUCCCUUAUCCACUAAUGUACGAGGUAUUUAUUAGUAGUAUUCCCUUAUCCACUAAUGUACGAGGUAUUUAUUAGUAGUAUUCCCUUAUCCACUAAUGUACGAGGUAUUUAUUACAGUAGUUUUCCCAUAUCCACUAAUGAACGAGGUAUUUAUUACAGUAGUAUUCCCUUAUCCACUAAUGUACGAGGUAUUUAUUACAGUAGUAUUCCCUUAUCCACUAAUGUACGAGCUAUUUAUUACAGUACUGUUUUGAAGUUCUCUCGCCAGGGUGUUCCUGAAAAGAUUAUCUGGAUAGUCAGUGCUGUGAUUUUACAAAGUUCAACAUAAUUGAUCUGAAAACCUAUUCUAAACAUUUUGGUAGCAGUAUUUUGAAUAAAUCCCUCCAGUGUGUAACAAACAGUCAUGGAGUCUGUUUUUGACAGUUUGUGUGUGUUGUCUGAGGGCAAAGUUUGAAUUGGGACCCAGAAGUUAGAUGUUUGUACCGUUGGGUGUGAGUUUUUUACAAUUGUGUGUGAAGAUUUGAGAAAAUGGUGAGUUGUUCCAGGAAUUGUGUCUAAGCAAUUGAGAAACUGUAAAAGGGAUAAUCCACCCCGAGAAAUGAAACAGGUCAAUUUCGUGAAAGCCUAUGUUCAAUCAGUGGAUAAAAAAAUGUUUCCCUCAUGAUUAAAAUUUUAAGUGGUGCGUCUGCGAAACCAGGAAAUCAUGUAGGAACGCGUCAUAGCUACACGGUUCUCAUCACUGUAUAUAGUGUGUUUUCUCCUUCAAGUACCAUAAUGCAAUGUGUGUCUGUGGGAAACGUGGGAAAAAGGCAUCGUCCUCUGCUCUCGCUUGGUGAGAGAGCCUCCUAAAUUGAUAAUGUAGUUUGUUUACGUGAUUUUUAAAGCUACAGUGCCUUGCGAAAGUAUUCGGCCCCCUUGAACUUUGCGACCUUUUGCCACAUUUC